rnacentral:rRNA from 1 species
GACGAACGCUGGCGGCGUGCCUAAUACAUGCAAGUCGAACGCAGUGGGGACGGGUGAGUAACACGUGGGUAACCUCCCAUCAGAGGGGAUAACACUUGGAAACAGGUGCUAAACCGAUACUGAUGGAUGGACCCGCGGUGCAUUAGCUAGUUGGUGAGGUAACGGCUCACCAAGGCCACGAUGCAUAGCCGGCCGGAGAGGGUGAGCGGCCACACUGGGACUUAGACACGGCCCAGACUCCUACGGGAGGCAGCAGUAGGGAAUAUUGGGCAAGGGACGAAAGUCUGACCGAGCAACGCUGCGUGAGUGAAGAAGGUUUUCGGAUCGUAAAACUCUGUUGUUAGAGAAGCGGUAUCUAACCAGAAAGCCACGGCUAACUACGUGCCAGCAGCCGCGGUAAUUC